rnacentral:lncRNA from 1 species
AUGAUCAUCUCCUCACAUGUCUUUCCUAAUAAAUUCCAUCUGAGCAUCGUGAAUCCUUCAUUCCAGCGAUUCUUUCUUUUCUAAAACCCUAGAUCUGAUGAGCCAGUACUGUUAACAGGUCUGCGUUUUUUUCCUUUUUAUUGGUGGUAUCAUCUUUUAAUGUGUAUGUCACUGGAGGUGGGUUCCAUGGGGUCACGUUUGAAUCUGUUGAUGUUAAUGCUUUGAGCGAAGCGUAUUUACGAUUGAUUAGAUAGUUAGGGUUUUUGUGAAUCCAUAAGUCCAUAACAUUCGGAUAAGGUUUCGUACUGAAUUGAUAUUUAGGUUUGAAUCUAUUGGUGUUAGUAUGUUGAGCCGUGAGCGAAACGAAUCUACGUUCAAAUACGAUUACAUAGUUAGGGUUUCUUUGAACAAAAAAAGUUUGGAUUAGGUCUGAUACUGAAAUGAUAGUAUAUUUGUUUAAAUGUGUACAUCAUUAAUUUGUAAGUCGUAAUGAGAUGAGAUUUUUUUUUAUAUGGAG